GGGCACGAGUCGUUUCUGUUGAUCAAGGUGAAACGCCCUCCGUUCUCUGUUAUGGCGGGUUUGAUGUAAUAUUCUUCGUCGUUAUCCACGGGUUCGCCAUUUGUGUCGAUCACGUACUGGGCUAGUGUUUGCUUGGCCAUGAAAAACCACACCGCGAGGACUAGGGAAGCAGGCACCUUCAUCGACAUGGUUAACUUUUUUGUCUGUCACACGAUGUUUUUAAGGUCUGUGGAUUUUGUAUAAUGUGUGGCUUUUUGGGCUGCGGGAGGAAGCUAUUUGUAGGAUAUGUAUGAUAUGAUUUCUUGGUGUGUUUGGAGUUAACAUGAGUUUGAAAUGCCGAGUUGGUCAAUGAUGACUUAGAUGAACAAUGAUAAAUCCAUAAAUAUAUUACCUUUAAGAUUUUGGGUUGAAAAGUAAUAUGUUGAUUUUUUAUAAUCUCAUUAAUGUUAAUUUAGAUGAUGAAUGCUUUAAAAAAAAAUUUAAAGGAUUUCUCAGCCUUUUGGUUUUAUAUUUGCUUUAGUAUGAUUUUAGUAUGAUGUUAGAGGUAGUUUUUCGGGGGGCUUUACCAUGAUGGGUUAUUUUUUUUUAUUUUUACUAAAAUAGGGUCUGUUUAAAAAAAAAUUACAAAUUUAGACAAGUUGUGUCGGCACGACUUCAUGUGCACAAAUCGUUCCAAUUUGACACGACUUUGCCAUGUCAUACUGAAGUCGUGCCAACUUGGCACGACUUCUGACAUGUCAUACUGAAGUCGUGGCACGACUUCUGCCCUGUCAUACUGAAGUCAUGCCAAUUUGGCACGACUUCUGUCAUGUCAUACUGAAGUUGUGUCAACUUGGCACGACUUUUGCCACGUCAUAUUUUUUUUUUUUUAAAUUAUUUAUAUAUUGGGUAGUANNNNNNNNNNNNNNNNNNNNNNNNNNNNNNNNNNNNNNNNNNNNNNNNNNNNNNNNNNNNNNNNNNNNNNNNNNNNNNNNNNNNNNNNNNNNNNNNNNNNAUCAUCUAUGGAUCAUGUCCGACACCAUUAAAUAUCAAAAUAUCAAAAAAAUUUCAUACAUGGGACAUUAAAUAUCAAAAUAUACUUUUUGGCUAGUGGGAAACCAUGUCCCGCGGCAAUGUCCUCAGGAGUUAAUGACUCAAAGUUUGAAUAAGCUGAUUAUCCAAACAUGAUCCAUACACGAUUAUCCAAUUUUUUGUUCCUUAAAACUAACACUCUUAGAAAAUUAUGUAUCAAAUUAAUUUUUAACAUUACAUAACUUAAUACCCAAUAUAUAAACAAUAAAAUUUAAAAAAAAUAAAUAAAUAUGACGUGGCAGAAGUUGUGCCAACUUGUCACGACUUCAGAUGACAUGGCAUAAGUCAUGCCAAGUUGGCACGACUUCAGUAUGACAUGGUAGAGUCGUGUCUAAUUGGGACAAUUUGUGCAUAUGAAGUCGUGCCGAAUUGGCACGACUUGCCUAAAUUUGUAAUUUUUUUUAAACGGAUCCCAUUUUGGUAAAAAGCAAAAAAAAAUAACUUCAUCAUGAUCAAAAUCCCUAGUUUUUGUCAGGUUAGAAGAUGCUUUGUUUCUUAAUUUUUAAAAAUGGUGUUAUGCGGUUUGCUAUAUUUUUAUGUAUAAAAAUUAAAUAUUUUUUAAAUGAUUUUUUUUUUAUAUAUAUUCUUGAUUGUUGAUAAAAAGAUAUUUUUAUUAAGUUUAAUUUAAUUUUUUAAAAUUGACUUUAUAAGAUGGUAUCUAUCUUAAAUUGAUUUGAUUUGUAUUAAAAAUAAGAUCUUCCAUAUAUAUUUGGUGUUGAAUAUAUACAUUAAACAUUCACGUUAACAUCAGUAUAAAUAUGGAAAGAGACCAAUAACAAAUCCCACAAUAGAUUUAAAUAUUUGGGAUUUAAAUAUUUAUUAAGAUAAAUUUUAAAUAACUCUAAUAAUAUAUAUUAUAUAUCUGAUAUUAUAUAUUAAUAGAAAGAAAAAAAUCAUUAAAUCAAUAUGUAUGAUUUAUAAAAAAAAGUGAAAAAUAUAUCUAACAAUAACAAAUAUAUUUUAUUUUGAUAACUUUAAAUUAUAAUAAUUUUAAAGUUGACUUUCAUUUGUGCUUAAAUUGGAAAAGUAGGUUGAUGAAUAAAAGUCCAACAUGCCAUAUCUAAUGGGACAUUACUUGGUAUCGCUACAAAUGUUGCAUGUGGGGUGAGUUACCUACUUUAAAGGAUAAAGCUUUGAUUUUUUGAAUAAAUAAAGUUUGAGUAACUUUUUUCCUCCACCCAUCAAUGCCAUCAAAAUUUGAAAUUUUGUUAUUAGAUUACUGUUCCAUCUUGACGGCCAGAUCCAGAGGAAUAGUUCUGGAAGCAAGAUUGCUAUUUAUUACUAAAAUAUUGCUGUAAAAGACGACUUGAUUCUGUUAAUUUUGUGUCAAAAUUCUUCUUAUGUUUUUCUAUAGAUUAUAAAUAAAACUUUAUGUAAAUAAUUGCAAGCAUUACUUAUCAUUAUAAGUUCUUGGUAACCUAUGUAGCUGACACAACACGAAUACGGACACAAAGAUACCUUUAAUCUAUAAAAUAUAGGAUACAUGGACAUGGAUCUAUAUAUUAUUUAAUUUUGAAUUAUAUAAAUUGAAAAUAAAUAUUUAUAUGCAAAAGUAUGUUCCAGAUUCUUUUGGGAGCAGGAAGAUAUUUUUCAUGACUGGUUCAAAAGAAUUUGUUCUUAUUUUUAUAAUCAUAAUAAAAAUUUAUACAAUAAAUUUGAGUUUUUAGAAAGUUAUUGUAUUUAUACCUUUUAAAAUUGUGUUAGAACCAUGUUAGAAUUUUCAAAAAUCCAAUAAAUAUUUCUUUGAAUUGAACACUUCACCGAUAAGUAUCCUACGAAUGUCGUACGGAUGUCGACACGGAUACGUGUGUCCAACACGGAUACACCAUUUAAGAAGUGUCUGAGCCUAAUAACUAACGAGAUUAUUCAAAAGAAAAAAAAAAUCAAAAUAAGGAAGGAAAAAAAGAGAAGAGAUUAAGGGAAAAAAAAAAGAAAAAAAAAGGAUCGAUGUAAGUCCUAUAUUUAAUAAUAAUAAACUUUGGUAUAAACUAAACAUAGUUUAAAUUAUUUUUUGUAUAAGUUAAAAUGACUUUUUACUAAUUAGGCAUGAUUUUUUUUUCAUUACAUAGAGAUAAUCUUUUAAACAUAGAUAUCUUUUAAGGGUUUUCUUUUUUGAUUAACAAAAUAUAUACAUAAGUAGUAUAGAAGUUCCUACAAGUGUUUUUUUUAAAAAACUCACUUUUUGGCUAUUUAUUUAAUAAGUUAAGAUGCUUUAAAAAUUAAGAAAAAAAAACACUAAAAAUUUCAGUCAGUGACUAUAUAUUUUAUAAACCUAAUUUAUAGAAAACUUGUCUUAUUUAUAAGAAGUUGGCCAAAAGGUGUUUACAUCAUUAAUAACAAUAGAGUAAUUAUGGAAGAGGAGGUUAAGGGUUUGUAGGAAAAGUUUUAUGAAGUCUGUGAGAGGACCGUGGUAACCACACUAUUAUGUUUAGCAUUUAAAUGAUAUAUUAGAUUAGUCAAAUUAUAAUUUAGUUUUGUUCAUGAAACAUUUUUCUAAAACAAUUCCUUUUUUCUUGUUCUCUAUAUAUACAUGUACUAUAAACAUUUCAAGUAUGAAAGGUUUCAUCCUCUAACCAUUAUUUUAUUUUUUUUACUUUCUAUUCUUGAUAUGUUUUUUUAUUUGUCGGAUUUACAGUAGAUUUUUCAUCUAGGUCCCUACCCCCUUAGCUUAGCUUUGCCCUCCAUUUGGUGACAAUUGUUAUUUCAUAUAUGUUAUCUCAAUAUUCCCUUCAUUUGUAAACAAAAAUAGGUAUUCAUUCCUUCUUUAAAGUUAUUAUUGUUUUAAAUCUUCUAAAGAAAAUCAUUCCAAGUUUUGCUCUAUGUGUAGGAAUAAACUAGAUGUUUUAAUCCUUGCAUAACUUUUUAUACUUGUUAUAAAAUUUAACCUUCUCAUUAUUACAGUAACAAUCACUAUUACACAAGGUAUAUAUAUAUAUAUGAAUGAUGGGUCUAGGUAAUAUUUAUCUACUGGUACACAAUUCGUUGUCGUGCUGGUAGUCUCCUAAUUCUUUGAAGUUUUUCCUCUCGCUACGUGUGUGCUCUAUCAAUCGGGUACCUACAAUUGCACUCUGACGCUCAAGUCAGUAUUAUAGUAUUAUAGUUUGUCAUCUCAGGAUAUGAAAAACGUACAUUUUUUCCCUUUCGAAAUCUUAUAUAGGUUGACCUGCCCUCAUUUGUUUGGGUUAGGUAAUUAGUUCACUCAAACGUGUGUAGUGGUCUCAGAAUGUGCGUAAUGAUUUCCUAAUAUCAUGGACAUGUGUCCCGAAGUAUGUCUUUAACCUAUUCAAUGCCAUUGUUUUAUUUAUUAUUUUGUAAAUAUCAUUUGACUUGUCUGGUGUCUGGUAAAUAUAUAUGUAUAUAUAUAUAUAUAUAUUAUUUUAUUUUUUUUGUUGAGUCUAUUUUCCGACCACUAUAUUUAAUAUUCUUGUAGUAAUACUGUUCAAGACUUUUAUAUUUUAUAAUAUUUCAACGUUGCAAACCGUCGUAUAUUGUAAUUUAUUUGGUUGAAAAGUGAUGAAUGUUUGCCACUUGUAUUGCUAUCUAGGAGUAGUUCCUUUAUAUGCCAAUUGCUGUAAUUUUGUUACUUUUCUUCUUCUUCGUUAAUUGCCCUUCCAAUCCUUUUUAAAUACGUACGUCACCUGAAAAUAAAAUUUCAAACUAAAAAGAUUCAAAACAUAACAUCAUGGACUUACAAUAUUCAAAACCUGAGACUGUCAUCUAACUCACCAACACAGAAACUUAAAUCUGAAACGUGUAGAUCUUGCAACUGCAUUACAUAAAUUAUAAUAUAUUUUAUAUAUAUUUUCUCUACAAGUGCAUACAAUUUUUACACCUUUUACAAGCAUAAAUCUCCUGCACCAAAGAGAAAAAUAAAAAUAAAAAUAACAUUAGACCUCCAAAAAAAAAGAGAAAUACACCGAAUAUUCUUAUUAUAUUACAAUAAAAUGUGCAAAAGUAAGAUUUUACAAAAGGUUUUAACAAUAACUGAUUUUAAAAGUGCAAUAACAAUUUGGUAAAGAAAAACUACUAUCGGACUCCAUUAGUUAACAUAUGGGUGGAAAGAAAAGAGAGUAAAAUAAAUUUCAUAUUUUUUAUUAAAAUACUGGUAUCUCCAAUAUUUUUUAGUUUUUAAUCCCAAUAUCUAAUUAAUUUAAUUUUGAAAGUAAUUCUUUUAUUUGAAUACAAUUUUUAAUUUCAAUCUCAUAUAUUUACAAACACAAUAACACAUAAUUACUUAAUUGAUAUUAGAAAAAAAAAUUGAAUCUCUUAACUAAAUUCACAUAUUUAACAUAAACAAAUUUAUGAGGGUACAACAAAUUAUUUAAACACAUAGUAAAUUAUACAAUGAGAGUGAAAAGAUAACUUAAAGAAAAAUAGGGUAAGAAUGAAAAGAAAAUAAAAAAGUGUAUGAAUUACAUACUCCUAACAUAACAAGUUGGAGUUUUUAUUUUGCAGAUCAAGAAGAUCAGAAUACUGAAUAAAUGUAUCUUUAUUUCAUACAAUAUAUAUAAAAAUGGAUGAUAGCUCCACCAUAUUGUUUAAUCUUCAAACUUAAUCAUCCUUUUUCUGGAACACUACAGGGAGAGCAGAACCAUCCAAGGCAAACAAAAUGGUUCCAUUCUCACGCACAAUCCCACCAGUUCCACAGAUGAAUCUGCAAGUGGGGCAAACUUCUGUAGGGCACCAUCUGAUGUUAUAGAUGCUCACGUUCUGUGUUUCCUCGAUUCUGAAAUAGUUUCCAGCACUGUGUGUUCCGUCAUCAAGACCAGUGAUGAUAACCCUUCUUCCAAUGCUCGUGUCAUUCUCACCCAACUUCCAUGCAGUGGACUGCACACACGUCGAUGAAACUUCAACGAACUCCACUUUCAAGUCCCUAUCCACCCUCACUUCAUCGUCAUCUUCCUCUCGGGCAAAAGGGGUGAAUCUCACAGGGUACCCCUGUGGCAAGUCAGUGUUUUCAAGACCAACAUGCAAAGGGCACGACUGGUUCCUGUUGAUCAAGGUGAAACGUCCUCCGUUGUCUGUUAUGGCUGGCCUGAUGAAGUACUCCUCGUCGCUUUCAAGAGGGUCACCGUGUGUGUCCAUCACAUAGCGGUUGUUGGAUUGGGAGAGCGUUGGUGUGGCCGCCAAAAGCCACAACGCGAGAGAGAGGGAAGCGAACAGCUUCAUCGACAUGGUGACACUUUGGUCUCAGAAUAGUGUGGUUUAAGGUUUGUGUGGUUUUGCAAUGGUGUGCGUGGUUUUUAAGGUUGCAAGAGGAAGGUAUUUAUA
rnacentral:lncRNA from 1 species